rnacentral:rRNA from 1 species
AGUGAACGCUGGCGGUAGGCCUAACACAUGCAAGUCGAACGGCAGCACAGUAAGAGCUUGCUCUUACGGGUGGCGAGUGGCGGACGGGUGAGGAAUACAUCGGAAUCUACUUUUUCGUGGGGGAUAACGUAGGGAAACUUACGCUAAUACCGCAUACGACCUACGGGUGAAAGCAGGGGAUCUUCGGACCUUGCGCGAUUGAAUGAGCCGAUGUCGGAUUAGCUAGUUGGCGGGGUAAAGGCCCACCAAGGCGACGAUCCGUAGCUGGUCUGAGAGGAUGAUCAGCCACACUGGAGCUGAGACACGGUCCAGACUCCUACGGGAGGCAGCAGUGGGGAAUAUUGGACAAUGGGCGCAAGCCUGAUCCAGCCAUACCGCGUGGGUGAAGAAGGCCUUCGGGUUGUAAAGCCCUUUUGUUGGGAAAGAAAAGCAGGAGGUUAAUACCCCGCUGUUCUGACGGUACCCAAAGAAUAAGCACCGGCUAACUUCGUG